GAUGAACGCUGGCGGCGUGCCUAAUACAUGCAAGUCGAGCGAACAGACGAGGAGCUUGCUCCUCUGACGUUAGCGGCGGACGGGUGAGUAACACGUGGAUAACCUACCUAUAAGACUGGGAUAACUUCGGGAAACCGGAGCUAAUACCGGAUAAUAUAUUGAACCGCAUGGUUCAAUAGUGAAAGACGGUUUUGCUGUCACUUAUAGAUGGAUCCGCGCCGCAUUAGCUAGUUGGUAAGGUAACGGCUUACCAAGGCAACGAUGCGUAGCCGACCUGAGAGGGUGAUCGGCCACACUGGAACUGAGACACGGUCCAGACUCCUACGGGAGGCAGCAGUAGGGAAUCUUCCGCAAUGGGCGAAAGCUUGACGGAGCAACGCCGCGUGAGUGAUGAAGGUCUUCGGAUCGUAAAACUCUGUUAUUAGGGAAGAACAAAUGUGUAAGUAACUAGGCACGUCUUGACGGUACCUAAUCAGAAAGCCACGGCUAACUACGUGC
rnacentral:rRNA from 1 species